GACGAACGCUGGCGGCGUGCUUAACACAUGCAAGUCGAACGGUGAAGCGCCUUCCUUUUAGGUGGGUGUGGAUGAGUGGCGAACGGGUGAGUAACACGUGAGUAACCUGCCCCCUUCUUCUGGAUAACCGCAUGAAAGUGUGGCUAAUACGGGAUAUUCUGGGUCUGUCGCAUGAUGGGUCUGGGAAAGAUAUUGUUUCGGUGGGGGAUGGGCUCGCGGCCUAUCAGCUUGUUGGUGGGGUGAUGGCCUACCAAGGCGGUGACGGGUAGCCGGCCUGAGAGGGUGGACGGUCACACUGGGACUGAGACACGGCCCAGACUCCUACGGGAGGCAGCAGUGGGGAAUAUUGCACAAUGGGCGCAAGCCUGAUGCAGCGACGCCGCGUGAGGGAUGGAGGCCUUCGGGUUGUGAACCUCUUUCGCCAGUGAAGCAGGCCUGCCUCGUUUGUGGGUGGGUUGACGGUAGCUGGAUAAGAAGCGCCGGCUAACUACGUG
rnacentral:rRNA from 1 species